rnacentral:tRNA from 1 species
GCGCCGUUGGUUUAGUGGUAAAAUUCAACGUUGCCAUCGUUGAGCCCCUGGUUCGAUUCCUGGACGGCGCA